UACAGAGGGGGCAAGCGUUGUUCGGAAUUACUGGGCGUAAAGGGCGCGUAGGCGGCCCGUUAAGUCGAACGUGAAAUCCCCAGGCUCAACCUGGGAACUGCGUCCGAUACUGGCGGGCUUGAAUCCGGGAGAGGGAUGCGGAAUUCCAGGUGUAGCGGUGAAAUGCGUAGAUAUCGGAAGGAACAUCAGUGGCGAAAGCGGCUUCCUGGACCAGAACUGACGAUCAGGCACGAAAGCGUGGGGAGCAAACAGG
rnacentral:rRNA from 1 species